rnacentral:rRNA from 1 species
ACAACCCUAGGUCAGGUAAGAUUACCCAUUAAGUUUAAGCAUAUCAAUAAGUGGUGGAAAAGAAACUUACCAGGAUUCCCCUAGUAAUGGCAAGCAAACUAGGAAGAGCCUAGCUUGAGAAUCGGGCACCCCUAACAUCCGAAUUGUAGUCUAGAGAAGUAUCUUUAGUGGCAGACCAAGCCUAAGAACCUUGGAAAGGGGCACCAAAAAAUGUAAGAGCCCUAUUGUGCCUAGACAUUGUCCCACAAUGAGGUGCAGUAUGUCAGUUAGGUUGUUUGGGAAUGCAACCCAAAUCAAGCAGUAAAUUCUAUCCAAGGUUAAAUGCAGGUGAGUGAUCGAUAACAAAAAAGUACCGUAAAGGAAAGAUGAAAAGGUCUUUGAAAAGAGAUUCAAAUAGUGCUUGAAAUUGUUAUGAUGGAAGUAAAUGGGGGUUGGUAUGUACCUUGGUCAGACAUGGAAUAGCGAGAGCCAGUUUGUAGAUUGGCUCGAAGCAUAGACCGAUGCGGGUCAUGGUGACGGCCUAAGCCUGGGCUUUCGAUAUGCUUAUGGAGAUGUCAUUUUUGUAAUUGUGGAAUGCAACACAAGUCAUCUCAAUGUGCCUUGGCACUUGCAUGCUCCCAACAUUGGCUUGUAGGCUCCCCAUCUGUCCUAUCUUGAAAAUGAACCAAAGAGUCUGACAUGUGUGCAAGGCAACAAGCUAGGAAACCCAUAAGGUGCAAGGAAGCUAAUUGGUGAGAUCCCUCAUAGGUGCACCGACUUGGAUCUUUAGAGAAAGGUUUAAGCGUAAGCAUGCUUGUUGGGACCGAAAAGAUGGUGAACUAUGCUUGAGUAGGGUAAAGUUAGAGGAAACUCUGAUAAAGGCCUACAGUGGUAUUAACGUGCAAAUCAUUCAUUUGACUUGGGUUUAGGGGUGAAAAACUAAUUGAACCAUCUAGCAACUAGUUCCCUCUGAAGUUUCCCUUAAGAUAACAGGAGCCCUUAGCAAGUUCUAUCGGGUAAAGCCAAUGAUUAAAGGCAUCAAGGGUGCAAUGCCCUCAACCUACUCUUAAACUUUAAAUAGGUAGGAUGGUGCAGCUACUUCAUUGAGCCAUACCAUAGAAUCGAGAGCUCUAAGUGGGCCAUUUUUGGUAAGCAAAAUUGCUAAUAGGGGAUGAACUGGAAGCUGAAUUAUGGUGCCCAACUGCAUGCUAACCUAGAACCUAUAAAGGGUGUUGGUCGAUUAAGAUAGUAGGAUGAGGGUAAUGGAAGUUGAAAUCUACUGAGUGUGUAACAGCUUACCUAUCGAAUCAACUAGCCUAAAAAAUGGAUGGCAUUUAAAUGUGCGACCUAUACACAACUAUCAAGGCAAUGGCAAAGGCUAGGCCCCAAUGAGUAGAAGAGCAUGGUGGUCGCUACAAAACCUGGGGCAUGAGCCCUGUGGAGUAGCCUUGGUGCAAAUCUUGGUGGUAGAAGCAAGUAUUCAAAUGAGAACAUUAAAUACUAAAAAGGGGAAAGGUUCCAUGUGAAUUGCACUUGCACAUGGGUUAGUCGAUCCUAAGAGAUAGGGGAAGCCCAUCCGAUAGUGUGUCCAAUGUGAGCUUUAAAAGGGAAUCAAGUUAAAAUUCUUGAACCAGGAUGCAUAGCUGACGACAAUAUUAGGUAGUCUAGAGGUGUUAGAGGGGGCCUUGGAAAGAGUUAUCUUUUCUAUUUAUGGCCUGCCCACCCUAGAAAUGGCUCAACUAGAGGUAAGGUCUAGCAAUCGAAAGAGCAUUACAAGUCACGUGGUGUUUGGUGUGCCCUUAGCGACCCUUGAAAAUCUGGAGGACCAAGUGCUCUCUAUGCUUGGUCAUAUUCAUAAUUGCAUCACUCUCUAAAGUGAAUAGCCUCUAGUCAAUGGAAUAAUGUAGGCAAGGGAAGUCUAAAAAAUAGAUCCAUAACCUCAAGUAAAAGAUUGGCUUAGAGGGCCAGGCACGAGGUCCUAAUCCCAAACUCAUUGACUGUCGAUGCACUACUUAAGCUACUCUCAUGGCAACAUGGGUCAUUGUGUGUUGAUCAAAGAUGGACUUGGAAAGGCUUCCUUUAGGGCUUUUCCCGAGCAAUGAAUAGUCGACUCAUAAUUGAUAGGGAUAAGGGGAAUCUAACUAUUUAAUUAAAACAAAGCAUUACAAUGGUCCCUACGAAUACUCAUGCAAUGUGAUUUUUGCCCAAUGCUCUAAAUGUCAAAGUGAAGAACUCAACCAAGUGAGGGUAAAUGAUAGGACUAACUAUGACUCUCUUAUGGUAGUCAAAUGCCUCAUCAUCUAAUUAGUGAGCACAUGAAUGGAUUAACACAAUUCCCAUUGUCCCUAUCUACUAUCCAAUGAAACCACAAUCAAAGGAAUGGGCUUGGCAGAAUCAGCAGGGAAAGAAAACCCCAUUCGGCUUGACUUUAGUCCAACUUUUUGAAAUGAAUUGAGAGGUGUAGGAUAAGUGGUAGCCCUAAGUCAAAAUUGAAAUACCACAACUUUUAACAUUAUUUUACUUAUUCCAUAAAUCGAAGGCAAGGCAGAACCCCUUCUAUUUGGCCUAAGGCCAACCUUGAUUGAUCGAUUAGGGUAAAAGACAUUGUUAGGUAGGGAGUUUGGCUGGGGUAGCACAUUUGUUAAAAGAUAAUGCAAGUGACCUAAGAUGAGCUCAAUGAGAAUAGAAAUCUCAUAUGGAAUAAAAGGAUAAAAGCUCAUUUGAUUUUGAUUUCCAGUACGAAUAAACUAUAAAAGCAUGACCUAUUAAUCCUGUAGACUUUCAGAAUUUGAAGCUAGAGGUGUCAAAAAAGUUAUCAGAAGGAUAACUAGCUUUAUGAUAGACAAGUGUUCAUAGUGAUGUUGCUUUUGAUCCUUCAAUGUUGGCCUUCCUAUCAUUGUGAAGCAAAAUUCACCAAGUGUUGGAUUGUUCACCCACUGAAAAGGAAUGUGAGCUAGGUUUACACCGUUAUGAGAUAGUUAGUUUUACCAUACUAAUGGUAGCGUCACAAUAAUAAUUCAACCUAGUAUGAGAGGAAUCGUUGAUUCGUGCAUUUGGUUAUCCCACUUGGUUGAAAAGCUAGUGGCAUGAAGCUACCAUGCACUUGAUUAUGACUAAAUGCCUCAACAUUAGAAUCUAGGUUAGAAGGGACACAUGUAUCUAUUGCCCAACUAUAGACCAGUAGUAGUGGCCUAUGCCUUGAAAGGUACAUGUCAUAGGUGUAGCACCCGUAGCAAAUAAGCCAUACGAGCCUUUCUU